CAGCCGCCGCGGGAAUACAGAGGGUGCGAGCGUUAAUCGGAUUUACUGGGCGUAAAGCGUGCGUAGGCGGCUUCUUAAGUCGGAUGUGAAAUCCCUGAGCUUAACUUAGGAAUUGCAUUCGAUACUGGGAAGCUAGAGUAUGGGAGAGGAUGGUAGAAUUCCAGGUGUAGCGGUGAAAUGCGUAGAGAUCUGGAGGAAUACCGAUGGCGAAGGCAGCCAUCUGGCCUAAUACUGACGCUGAGGUACGAAAGCAUGGGGAGCAAACAGGAUUAGAUACCCCCGUAGUCCCUGUCUUUUAUAC
rnacentral:rRNA from 1 species